CAAAGGACGAACGAAGAAAGACCCGGAGAUGCAUCUAAAAACGGAGCAAUCCAUUAAUUAUUCGAUACAUAAUGCAGAACGCGUUGCGUAUAAUUAAUAUCGGGAGUGACGUACAAUGUCGCGCGAAUGUUAUAUUUAUUAUUCAUUAAUGCGUAAUCGUAGUUAACCGUGUUUUCGCGAGUGAGUGCCAUGAAGAAGCAGCAAAGGAUGAACGAAAGAGGAGGAAAGGACCCGGAGAGAUAAUCGGGCAACGGCGGAGCAUCGUGUAAAAGAGAGAAAAAGAACUCCGCCGCAACAUCAACCGGUGA